rnacentral:rRNA from 1 species
GGCUAUAGUACUAUGAACAUGUCUGAUAUAGAAACAUAUCUGAUCUCUAAAGCUAAUCUGGAUGGAGUUUGGUUGGUACUUGGAUGGGAGACUACUUGGGAAUACCAGGUGUUGUAGGCU